rnacentral:rRNA from 1 species
AUUGAACGCUGGCGGCAUGCCUUACACAUGCAAGUCGAACGGCAGCACGGGUGCUUGCACCUGGUGGCGAGUGGCGAACGGGUGAGUAAUACAUCGGAACGUACCUUAUCGUGGGGGAUAACGCAGCGAAAGCUGUGCUAAUACCGCAUACGCCCUGAGGGGGAAAGCGGGGGAUCGCAAGACCUCGCGCGAUUAGAGCGGCCGAUGCCUGUUUAGCUUGUUGGUGGGGUAAAAGCCCACCAAGGCGACGAUCAGUAGCUGGUCUGAGAGGACGAUCAGCCACACUGGGACUGAGACACGGCCCAGACUCCUACGGGAGGCAGCAGUGGGGAAUUUUGGACAAUGGGGGCAACCCUGAUCCAGCAAUGCCGCGUGAGUGAAGAAGGCCGUCGGGUUGUAAAGCUCUUUUGUCAGGGAAGAAACACCGGCUCUAACACAGUCCGGGAAUGACGGUACCUGAAGAAUAAGCACCGGCUAACUACGUGCCAGCCGCCGCAGUAA